GGAAAGACUGGAGAGAAGGGCUUCAGAGGACUAGAUGGAGACAAAGGAGAUGCUGGAACCAAAGGAGACAGGAGUUCUGUUGGUGUGUCAGGGAUCCAAGGCCAUCAGGGUGAGAGGGUUCAGAUUGGCCUCUCAGGGCUUCCUGGUCUCAGAGGUCAAGCUGGUCCCC